UCGGGGGUCGUCUAAUGGUAGGACGACAGGUUCUGGUCCUGUUAAUCAUGGUUCGAGUCCAUGCCCCUGAGCCA
rnacentral:tRNA from 1 species